ACCAAUUUUGCAUUCAGCAUACAACUCGCGUGCACAAAUAGAUCUAAUUUAUAUGCAAUCGCAGAGUAUAAACAAUUACAGAUUUAAAAUGAAUUAUCAGGAUCACUUGACAAAAUUUGUUAUACUUAAACCACUAAAGACUAAACGAGCAGAAGAAAUAGCAUAUAACUUAAUGGAAAUUUAUACAACUUUUGGACCGCCAGCAAUUCUACAUUCCGAUAAUGGGAGAGAGUUUGUUAAUAGUGUAAUUAAUGAAUUACAUAAUAUGUGGGGUGAUGUUUGUUAAAAUAGUGCACGGAAAACCAAGACAUAGUCAGAGCCAGGGGUCUAUAGAACGUGCGAACCGGGACGUGGAAGAUAUGUUGGCGACAUGGAUGGCGGAAACAAAAUCAACAGAUUGGCCAUCUGAAUUAAAAUUUAUCCAAUUUUGAAAAAAUCGUGCUUUUCAUUCUGCUCGUUUAGGUGUUGCAUCAAUUGGUUUACCAGUAGACGAAAUUAGCUCUUUGAAAUCUGAGGAAGAUAUUGAAUGUAUUUUGAAGUCAAACAAAGACGAGGGAGCCGAAGAAAAUGUACCGUGUACUAGUAACUCAGAACAAGUGACUAGUGACUUAGAACUUGUUGAUCAACGAAAACAAAAUAUACUUGAUGCACGUCAAUCAUCUGCACACAAUUUAAAAAAACAGGCACUAAAAAUGGUUAAAACAUCCAAUAAAAAAUAUAUCCUUGCAAAGCAAAUUUAUUGGAUCUAAGUACUGUUUUAAAAUCGGCAGGUCAAGCAGAAAAACCGUUAUCUCUUCAGGAGGCAACUACUCUAAAUAGUAUUUCAGGGGCACAAGGAUAUACCCGAUGUCAAUGUAAGACAAAAUGCAAGACGAACAGGUGUGCUUGCAGAUCGGCAUCUAAUUCUAAAUGUCAUAGAAGUUUGCCAUGUGAAAAUAAAAAUGAAUACCU